AUACGGGGGAUGCAAGCGUUAUCCGGAUUUAUUGGGUUUAAAGGGUGCGUAGGCGGUGUGAUAAGUCAGCGGUGAAAUAUUUCAGCUUAACUGAAAGGGUGCCGUUGAUACUGUCAGGCUUGAAUAUGGUUGCUGUGGGUGGAAUGUGUGGUGUAGCGGUGAAAUGCUUAGAUAUCACACAGAAUAUCGAUUGCGAAGGCAGCUCACAAAGCCAUUAUUGACGCUGAUGCACGAAAGUGUGGGGAUCAAACAGGAUUAGAUACCCUGGUAGUCCACACCGUAAACGAUGAUAACUCGCUGUCGGCGAUACACAGUCGGUAGCCAAGCGAAAGCGAUAAGUUAUCCACCUGGGGAGUACGACCGCAAGGUUGAA
rnacentral:rRNA from 1 species